GGCUCAUCGCAUCCUGGGGCUGUAGCAGGUCCCAAGGGUUGGGCUGUUCGCCCAUUAAAGCGGUACGCGAGCUGGGUUCAGAACGUCGUGAGACAGUUCGGUCCCUAUCCGGCGCGGGCGGAGGAUAUUUGAGAGGAGCUGACCCUAGUACGAGAGGACCGGGUUGGACGGACCACUGGUGUACCGGCUGUCAACCAAUGGCAUAGCCGGGUAGCCAAGUCUGGACGGGAUAAACGCUGAAGGCAUCUAAGCGUGAAGCCCCCCUCAAGAUGAGAUAUCCCCUCCUAUAAGGAGAUAAGAUCCCUUGAAGACUACAAGGUAGAUAGGACAGAGGUGGAAGUGUAGUAAUACAUGUAGCUGACUGUUACUAAUAGAUCGAAGGCUUAACCAA
rnacentral:rRNA from 1 species